rnacentral:rRNA from 1 species
UCGGGCUAAUACCGCAUGUGUCCUACGGGAUAAAGCAGGGGAUCUUCGGACCUUGCGCUAAAUGAUGAGCUCGCGUGAGAUUAGCUUGUUGGUGAGGUAAAGGCUCACCAAGGCAACGAUCUCUAGCUGGUCUGAGAGGAUGAUCAGCCACACUGGGACUGAGACACGGCCCAGACUCCUACGGGAGGCAGCAGUGGGGAAUAUUGGACAAUGGGGGCAACCCUGAUCCAGCAAUUCUGCGUGUGUGAAGAAGGCCUGCGGGUUGUAAAGCACUUUCAGUAGCCAAGAUGGGAUUAAGUGUUAAUAC